rnacentral:lncRNA from 1 species
UCUUCACAGUGAAUCUUCCUAUUGCCUACUCUUCGGGUCUGUGCCACUUUUAUGAGCUGUAACACUCAUUGGGAAGUUCUGCAGUUUCACUCCUGAGGCCAGCAAGACCACGAACCCACUGGAAGGAAUGAACAGCUCCAGACCUGCCACCUUUAAGAGCUGUAACACUCACCUCGAAGGUCUGCAGCUUCACUUGUGAAGUGAGCGAGACCACGAACCCACCCAAAGGAAGAAACUCUGGACACAUCUGAAGGAACGAACUCCAGACACACCUUAUCUAAGAACUGUAACACUUACCGCGAGGGUCCGCAGCUUCAGUCUGGAAGUCAGCGAGACCAAGAACCGACCAAUUCCGGACACAUUAGGGUACAAAUAAUUUUUAAGGAGCUGAUUAAAUACAUUACUACUUACAUAAAAUAUUAGGAUAAAAAUAAAUCUACCUGGCAACACAGCGUUGUGAAACUGUAGAAUGGCAAGAAGAAGAAAAAGACAGCAUGGAAGCCUUUCCAGUUGUGAGUAAUUUGCUGAUUCAUUGUCAAGAGGAGACAAAUGAAACAAAAGGGAAAAUUCGUGUGCUGCUUAAACACAGAAUGAACGAGCUUUGUGGACUACUGGGCCCAGCUGAAUGGUUCUCACCUGAGGUCUGUCAUGUAGUAGAGGAAGCUGCAGUCAGCAG